AUGGAAGGCCAUGCCAGUGAGCUUCCCAUUCAGCUCAGGGAUGACCUUGCCCACAGCCUUGGUGGCGUCAGUGGAAGCAGGGAUGAUGUUCUGGGCAGCCCCUCAGCUGUCACGCCACAGCUUCCCAGAGGGGCCGUCCAUGGUCUUAUGGGUGGCAGUGCUGGCAUGGAUGGUGGUAAUGAGGCCCUCCACGAUGCUGAAGUGGUCAUGGAUGACUUUGGCCAGAGGAGCCAAGCAGUUGGUGGUACAGGAGGCAUUGCUGACAAUCUUUUUUUUUUUUUUUUUAAAGAUUUUAUUUUAUUUAUUUAUUUAUUCAUGAGAGAGAGAGAGAGAGAGAUUGAGGCAGAGACCCAGGCAGAGGGAGAAGCAGGCUCCAUGCAGGGAGCCCGACGUGGGACUCAAUCCCAGGUCUCCAGGAUCACACCCCAGGCUGAAGGUGGUGCUAAAUUGCUGAGCCACCCAGGCUGCCCAAUUGCUGACAAUCUUGAGGGAGUUGUCAUACUUCUCGUGGUUCAUGCCCAUCACAAACAUGGGGGCAUCAGCAGAAGGAACAGAGAUGAUGACCCUCUUGGCCCCACCCUUCAAGUGAGCCCCAGCCUUCUCCAUGGUGGUGAAGACCCCAGUGGACUCCACAACAUACUUAGCACCAGCAUCACCCCAUUUGAUGUUGGUGGGACCUUGCUCCUGGAAGAUGGAGAUGGACUUCCUAUUGAUGACAAGUUUCCCGUUCUCAGCCAUGAUGGUGCCGUGGAAUUUGCCAUGGGUAGAAUCAUACUGGAACAUGUACACCAUGUAACUGAGGUCAAUGAAGGGGUCAUUGAUGGCGACAACAUCCACUUUGCCAGAGUUAAAAGCAGCCCUGGUGACCAGGCACCCAAUACGGCCAAAUACGUUUACUCCAGCCUUUACCAUCAUGUCUCAGGGAUGCGGCUGGCACUGCACCAGAAGAUGUGGCUGUCUGUCGAAUGGGGAGGAGCGGAGAGCCGUUUUUUUGGUAUUUAUUGA
rnacentral:lncRNA from 1 species